rnacentral:rRNA from 1 species
GCGCUGACGGUGGCGACGCUGUUCCCGCUGGGCGGGCUGCUGCUGGUGCUGUCCGGGCUGGCGCUGGCGGGCACCGUGGUGGGGCUGGCCGUGGCCACGCCGGUGUUCCUGCUCUUCAGCCCCGUGCUGGUCCCGGCCGCGCUCACCAUCGGCCUGGCCGUCACCGGGUUCCUCACCUCCGGCGCGCUGGGGCUGGGCGGCCUCUCCUCGCUCACCGUGCUCGCCAACACGGCGCGCCAGGCGUUCCAGCGCACCCCGGACUACGUGGAGGAGGCGCGCCAGCGCAUGGCCGACGCUGCCGCGGCCGCGGGGCACAAGACGCAGCAGGCCGGCCACGCCAUCCAGAGCCGCGCGGAGGAGGCGCGCGCCGGAGGAGGAGGCGGCCACACCGGCGCCACCGGCGGAGCGGGCGCCGGCACCGGCACCAGGGCGUCGUCGUAA